rnacentral:rRNA from 1 species
UACAGAGGGUGCGAGCGUUUAAUCGGAAUUACUGGGCGUAAAGCGUGCGCAGACGGUUGCGUAAGUCAGAGGUGAAAGCCCGGGGCUCAACUCCGGAAUUGCCUUUAAGACUGCAUCGCUAGAAUUGUGGAGAGGUAAGUGGAAUUCCGAGUGUAGAGGUGAAAUUCGUAGAUAUUCGGAAGAACACCAGUGGCGAAGGCGACUUACUGGACACAUAUUGACGCUGAGGUGCGAAAGCGUGGGGGAGCAAACAGG